rnacentral:rRNA from 1 species
UACGUAGGGUCCAAGCGUUAUCCGGAAUCACUGGGCGUAAAGCGUGCGUAGGCGGCGUGUUAAGUGUGAUGUUAAAUCGUGGGGCUCAACCCUGUCGUUGCAUCGCAUACUGGCAUGCUUGAGGAAGGCAGAGGCAAGUGGAAUUGGCAGUGUAGCAGUGAAAUGCGUAGAGAUUGCCAGGAACACCAAUGGCGAAGGCAGCUUGCUGGGCCUUUUCUGACGCUGAGGUACGAAAGCGUGGGGAGCGAACAGG